GACGAACGCUGGCGGCGUGCUUAACACAUGCAAGUCGAACGCUGAAGCUUGGUGCUUGCACUGGGUGGAUGAGUGGCGAACGGGUGAGUAUCACGUGAGUAACCUGCCCCUGACUUCGGGAUAAGCCUGGGAAACUGGGUCUAAUACCGGAUAUGACCAUCUUUCGCAUGUUGGGUGGUGGAAAGUUUUUCGGUUGGGGAUGGGCUCGCGGCCUAUCAGUUUGUUGGUGGGGUAAUGGCCUACCAAGACGACGACGGGUAGCCGGCCUGAGAGGGCGACCGGCCACACUGGGACUGAGACACGGCCCAGACUCCUACGGGAGGCAGCAGUGGGGAAUAUUGCACAAUGGGGGAAACCCUGAUGCAGCGACGCCGCGUGGGGGAUGACGGCCUUCGGGUUGUAAACCCCUUUCAGUAGGGAAGAAGCCUUUGGGUGACGGUACCUGCAGAAGAAGUACCGGCUAACUACGUGCCAGCAGCCGCGGUAAUACGUAGGGUACAAGCGUUGUCCGGAAUUAUUGGGCGUAAAGAGCUCGUAGGUGGUUUGUCGCGUCUGCUGUGGAAUCGUGCCGCUUAACGGUGCGCGUGCAGUGGGUACGGGCAGACUGGAGUGCAGUAGGGGAGUCUGGAAUUCCUGGUGUAGCGGUGAAAUGCGCAGAUAUCAGGAGGAACACCGGUGGCGAAGGCGGGACUCUGGGCUGUUACUGACGCUGAGGAGCGAAAGCAUGGGGAGCGAACAGGAUUAGAUACCCUGGUAGUCCAUGCCGUAAACGUUGGGAACUAGGUGUGGGGUCCAUUCCACGGAUUCCGCGCCGUAGCUAACGCAUUAAGUUCCCCGCCUGGGGAGUACGGCC
rnacentral:rRNA from 1 species